UUUUUUUUUUCUUUUUUUUCUUCCUACUUGUUUAUAUGCCUAAUGCUGUUGUAUCUAAGUAGAUCUGAAGACCUUGCUGUUCUGCUGUCUUGUCAUGUUUUCUAUUGUGUUGUGACAACCACUGUCUAUUAUUUUCCCUUGUAACUAUUAUGGUUGUGUUGAACAGAAUCCAUGACUUCUGAAUUAAUAGAUGCUUUUCUCACAAUAGAAGUUUCCACAAAUGUAUCAAAUUUCUCUUUACCUCAUGAAAGCUGGGUUCAGAGGUCCUCAGAUGACCUUCAGAUAUAUACCUAUGGGUGUAUGGAGAGGGUGUGCAAGGGAGUGUGUGGAUAGCUUAAAAGGAGAGGAUAGAGAAAUAAGGGAAGCACUGUGGUACAAACAGAGGAGAUAUCCAGGGAUUUUAGUUUUUAAUCUGCAGUAAGUUAUCUCUAGAGUAUGAGUGGAUGGUGUUCUCCUGUAGUGAUAUUACCUGGGUGUAGAAUCAUGCUUUUCCUUACCAGUUAUGCUUCAAGGAAUGGUGCUGUCCUGGUUGGCCCUGUUGGAAGGAGAUUUACUGUGUAUGAUCAGGAGUCCUUGUAUAAGGUGAAUGUGUUCUCCUUUGUAGGAAUAGACAUCCAGCAGCAACAAAACUUACUGUGUUUCACCUUUAAAAAUGCUUGGUGAAACUCAUGUAAAGGAUUUAUCUAUUUCAGCUUCUAUUUCAUUUAGUGCCUAGGUAUUUUUCACUGCAUACUUCCAUUCUUUAUAGGAUGAGGAAUGCACACGGGUGCAGGUGCCAUGUCCUACAGGAUACUAAUAGCUCUGAUUGACUUACUACCCCUAUUUGGGUUGUCCCCACUCCACCCCUCACUAGACUAUUUCAGUGCAGCCCAGCUGAAAGAGCCUCUGCUCCUGGACUGCUCUCUGACCUGCUGGUGAAGACCCAUUACUGUCAUCACCUUGUUCUACUCAUAGUGAGUUCAUCUGUUCUGCUUGUGGUAAACCUCAUCUUUACAAGCACUUGCUAACACUGGUGUGUACGCACCUUUCUGUUAUAGAGGAGUACUUCACAGUGAUAUCUAAAAAUGCUGUGCUUAGGAGUCGUUUCAUCUACGGAAUAUAGAUGCUUUAUAAACACUGAUGUGACAUUGAUAUCUAUGAAGAUUUAAUAAGUUAUUAGGCUUUAGAGUAAAACAAUGAAAUAUGUUCAUGCGUAGCUUCUAGGAAUGAGCAAUGUACAGGUUUUGAGGCUGACACUGGGUUGCUGGAAGCUUUCCAUGUUUAUUUUUUGUUGGGAUGUGACUGUGGAGUCCACGCAACCAUACACAGUAUUGCCCAUCUUCAAGUGCAAGUAGGUGACUUUUUUCAGAGUGCUCAGCUUUGAUCUCCUUUCUACUUCACUGCUACUGAAAUGCAGCUGGGAGAAUGCUACUACCUUGGGCUUUGGUUGUGAGCUGACUGAGCAAUCUCCCCUAGUCCAGGAGAUUUAACCCAUUUUGUAUUGCAGUGCCCAGACCUGCAGUUCCCUAGGCUGUAAGAAGGCUUACAGUUAAAUCUGUGUGCUUAACAACCUGAGAAAUGGUGAAGAAGUACCAGAUGUGGAGGAUGGCUGACUAGAUAUUUGACUGAGGAGGCAAGAUCUGGCAAAUGAGGAGUGUUGGCACAUGAUAGCAAACAAGAACUUCAGGUUAAGGAUAUAGUAACAGGUACUAUUGCAGUAGAGAAUUAAUCUAUCAGGCUUUGGUUUAAGGGGUUUAAAAUGCUUAAGUGAAAAACAAGCAUUACUUUCUGUAGACCCACAGCGUUAGGUUUCUAUGAGGCAAAUAAUAGGCAGGGAAAUAUACUGCUUAGUGAGACAAGGGAGUGUUGCAGAGUAGUUACAUGGCUGUGAUAAGCAGAGAAGAUGGCAUUAUUACUUUAGACAGCUUUGAGAUUGCAGCUCUAGAUUCAAGGUUCUAGGAUGAUCAGAGGCUGUGGGGCACUGUGGUACCUCCUGGUAGAGUAGGAUUUUCACUGGUAGAGUGCUUCAGGUUAAUGAGGGAAGCAGGAAGCAAUUAGAUCUUAAUGUGCAGCUUACUAGGCAUAUCAAUGCUAAUUCAGUAAUAGCUGCAAAGGGAGAUAUUUAUCUUCUGUGCUUUGUAUGCAGUUAGAUUAGUUCACUCGGAAACCUCCUUUAAUCAGCCUGAAUAGGGGAAAUAUCCUGUCUAUCUAUGGUGAUGUUACCAUUCUGGCCCAUGGAGCAGACUGAUAUAAUGCUAAUCAAUGGGACUCCAGGCUGUGAGGCUAGAAAUAGCUGAGUGCUCUCAUGGCUGGUGCAGGGACUGUAAUUACAGAUCAGGAACAGACACUUGUGAACAUGGAAUUUUGGGGUAAAAGGAAGUGCAUGGAGCAUGUAUCAGGAAGAAGGGUUAUCCUGAAUAAAUAGAACCUGCAUUAAGCUAUUUUCACCAAAGAAGCUAUUCCUAUCUCCUCACCUUUCUACCUCUUUGCCACUGCACUCUAACAAGUGGUAAAAUCUAAUUGCUGCUUUGAUUGGGAUUCAAGAUGCCUCUGCUCUGUGCACAGCUGAUGGCUUUCAGGCAGCCAAGCUGUUCCCAAAUGAGCCACCUGGAGAUCAGUAUUAGGACAGAGCUGAGCAGGGUCUGCUGCUGUGCCAGCUGGUGUGAUGCUGUUUCCCUCACCAUCCUGCAGAACCAGGGGAAGGGCUGCUUUCCUCUCCAGGUCUGCUGCAGUUCUACUCCUUUUGAGUAGGAAAGCUCUGGGAGAAAAGAUGCUCUGUGUGAUGUGCAGUCCUGAUGUUUUUAGGGCUUGGGAUAACAGAGCACCUGCUUGUAUGUGGCAGCUGAGGCAAUUACCAAAUUGCUGGGCUGGGAGGUGGAGAAGAUGUCUUUCCUUUGGGCAACAGAUGGUAGUCAACUUCAUGCGGUAGAUAUUGAGCAAUUCCUGGGAGCCUUUUAGACCAAGAAUCAAAGCCCUCAUUCCAUUCCAACUGCAGAUCUGAGCAGUCUCCUGUGAUCUACUGCAAUUAUUACCAAUAACAGACUGUCCAUGCUCUGUGGAACUCUUCGCUCAGAAUGCAGACUUCAUAAUCUUUACUUUGUUCCUGAAUACUCUACUAACUGUAUCUAAUAACCUAAAAAUAAGGAGAAUGUAGCUUCUUCCUGGAGACCUAGCUUCCCGUGUAUUCAUACAGUUCAUUAUCUGAACUGUUCCAUUAUAAGAUACAUUCAAACUUUUCAUUGAUAUCCCUGUUUUUCUCCCUCCUCUUCUGAUGCUUUGUCACUAUGUGACAACUUAUGCAACAAAACAGGAAGGAGUGAAGGGUAAAAACCCUGUGAACUAAAAUCUAUAGAACUACCUUGCCUUUCCUUAAAGAAGGAUUGGGGAGGGAGAGCUAUUUUGAUUUCGAGGGUGAAUCUGAUGCUGAGAAAGCCUGGUGUUACAACUUCCUGCCCUCCAAGGUUCCUUGGUACCCACUGAAGCUUAGACUUGCAGCCUGCUGAAACAUGACUGUAGACCUUAGGCUGAAUUUUAUUUCAAAAAUUUCUGUGUAUGUACCUCAAUAUGCAAACACAAAAUGUGUUAGUACUGUUUUUUGAAGGUAAUAUUACAGGAGUGGUUUUCUAAAGCCUAGUGAGAGGUAAAGUACAGGUCUUCAUAGCUUAGCAUAGUAAUAUUGUUGCUAGAACAUGCAUUUUUAAAAGGCAAGCCUGCAAGCAAGUCUCAAACCAGUGAUGCUAACAUAAGAAAUUUAAUACGGUAUACUCAAUAGUAAAGAUUUUUCUUGCUGCUUUUACAUGGAGAGCUUCUUCUUGCAAGUAAGUAUAUUGGUAUAAAGCUUAGGAAUAAUACCUGAUGCCCUAUUUAUAUCCUACUGCCAGCGUGAUAUUUCUGUUUCGCACAGGGGAGAACCAAGGUCUUCUCUGUAUCUUAUCUUGUCCCAGCUCUGUAAAUGAAGCCUCUGAACUUGCUCAGGCUAAUGGCCUGCUUCCAGACCUCCCAGCCCUGGUCAGGGCAGCUGCUGCUGUUGGCAGUGGUUACAAGGAGGGAGGAAGCUGUGUGCCUUUCCUCUCAGGAGGAUACUUUCAUCCCUUCCUAGAAUGAGAUAGACCAAUGGGGAGCAUUUAAGCAAGUAGGUGAAGGUCAUGCAUGGGAAAUGUAGAGUACACAGCUGCCCUGCCUCCUUGUCUAACAGCAGAGCUAAGAGGAAGUCUCUCCUCUCUGUCUUUCUAUCCAAAAACACACCUCAUAUUUAGUCCUCGUGAGUCUGGAGCUUCAUUACUGUAACAUAUUAUGAAUCCAAUUUGAGGGCUAGUGAGGUGAACGAAGCAGUCUCCUUCCCCUAGCCUGUCCCCAGAAUUAGGAAGAGGGAGGCUGGGAGUGAGGAAGGCUGGCAGGUCAUGGCUGGGCUCAGUCCUUCAGUGAUCAAGGCAAGUUGAGUGAUGGUGGCUGGGGUACAUCCAGGCAUCCAGCUAGUCAGAUGAGUCCAUAGGGGAUGAGAAGGACCAAGGCUGGGAAGUUGACUUCUGGAUCUGGGCUGGUGAGGAGUAAGUUUGGGCUCAAGGUCACCUACAUAGCUUGGGCAGGGACCAAGGGGAGGGUCAAUGCCUCUCCCAAGGGAAAGAGGAGUGGAGGCCCCCAGCAAGCCUUCUCCUAGCUCUGUUUCCAGCAACCAGAUCCAAGGUCACACAGCUGCAUGCUGUCAAUGCUGCCUUGAGCAACAGCUGUGAAAUCCCAGGGAGGGGCAGAGGCUGUAUGGUUAAACAAAGAUCAAAGUCCACUAGAAAUUACUGGGGUCAUCUAACAGCCAUGUGGACAAGGCUACUGCAAAGGAACUAAUUAGUUUUCUGCUUGCUGCAGAGGAGGAAGCUGGGGAAAUUCCUAAUGUCCUUUUCAGUAGGAGUUCAGCAAACAAUCAGCCUGAAUUUUGAAGUAAUAGUGAAACAGGCAGAGCUACAAAUAAACAAAAUGAAAACUAAUGGAUAUCCAGGCCUGGUAGUAUUCAUCCAGGUGUUCUGGAGGUGCUGAGGGAUAGGGAUGGAGUUGCUGAGUUUGAGGUGUAUGAUAAUAGAUGAAAUUUAAUGCUGGUAAAUCUAAGUUCUGGUGAAGGCCUCACAUAAAAAUUGGGCUCUGAUUUAAUUACUGCCAUUUAAGUGUGACACUGGGUUUAUAAUAACUAUAAUUUAUUGCUCAGUACUAAUGAAAAAUACAGUGGCUAAAAGAAAAGUCAGUAUGUAGCCCAUAGGUUCAUCCUCCUCUCCACAGCUCUAUUUCCUCCAUGUUAAGAUGUGUUGCAGCAGUGGGAGAAAGAUUUUUGUCUCUCUGAGCAGACUGAGUUUUCCAUCCCUGGAAAAGGGCUGUGUGGAUGAUAUGAUACAGAUGUACAAAAUAAUGAGUGAUGUAGGAGGGGUGAAUGAGUAGAGAGACUAUUUCUUCUAGCAUGAGUACAGAGGGCCAUGAAGUGGCACUAGCAGACUAGUUCAGUAUGAACAGAGGUGGUUGUUCAUGUGGAGUGGGUGCUGCCUGUUGUGCUGCCUGCGGGAGGAUGGUGCUGGUGCAAGAAGCUGACGUGGUUUGGAAGGGACCCUGGAAAAGUACUUGGAGAAGAUUUGCCUUGAGUUUUACCCUCUAGACAAACUUCAGCAGGCUCAAGGAGUCCCUCGAAGCUGGGGAAUUGCUGGUGGGAGGCAUUAGGGUGGAAUGGUCUCCCAAAUGGUAUUUACUCUUGCCAUUUGCAGGCACAGCUGCAGGUUGGAAACUAAAGUAGGAAGACUAAGAUCUGCUCAGAUGAUUCUUCCUCUUAUGGUUUUAUACAGGUGGCGGCUUAGCACCACAGGAUAUCCAUAUUCUGUAGUGUGCUCUUGUGAAGUUGCUGCUGCUGAGGACUUAAGCGACUGCUGGCUGUGAUGGACGGGUUUCUGCUGGGCAUGUGGCUGAGUGCAGCUUGUGUUACUUGGCCACUGUGGCCUCCUGAAGUUGUGAGGGUCUUCCAGCAGAGCAGUGGCUGACUGACAGGGAAAGCUUUUGACAGAUGUUUAUUGGUGACCUGAUAGGUCAGCUAGUGGUCCACAAAUGCUUCUGCAAAGGAAAGCAGUGUUUGUGUUUGGUUCCUUUUCACCAGACUACUCUGUUGUGAGAGGAGCCUCUGCCAGCUGUGUUAAGUGAGAUGACUAAUAUCUGCCACAUACUCAUUAAACACUGUAUUUUUGAUA